rnacentral:lncRNA from 1 species
GGGAUUUUGUUUUGUUUUCCUCUACCCAAAGGUAUAUUUCCCAAGAGAUAUAACUAAAACAUUCAAUAAUAUUUCUUUGUAUAGCAUCCAAUAAUGCAAUGGCUGGAAGACAAGAAAGCGAUGGAGUAGCUGGGCGGGUGCACUGGAUAUUAUCAAUAAUUUUGAUGCUGUGGAGUUACCAGAGCAGUGGACAAGGACAAGUUCUAGGUUUAGGAGCUGGAUGGAAACUGUGCACUGGAAUUCUACAACUAGUCACCAGACGUGCAGAAGAGCUGUUCUGUGAUGUAAACUGUAUCUGUACAAAAAGGUGGGUUGGUUUUCUAAAGCUCCCAGUUCAAUAUUUUAGUCUUUGACUUGGAAAAGCAGGUA